rnacentral:rRNA from 3 species
GUAGACUGUCUAAUUCCGCUGCGCGGCCUACCAUGCAGUCGAGCGGUAGAGAGAGCUUGCUUCUCUUGAGAGCGGCGGACGGGUGAGUAAUGCCUAGGAAUCUGCCUGGUAGUGGGGGAUAACGUUCGGAAACGGACGCUAAUACCGCAUACGUCCUACGGGAGAAAGCAGGGGACCUUCGGGCCUUGCGCUAUCAAAUGAGCCUAGGUCGGAUUAGCUAGUUGGUGGGGUAAUGGCUCACCAAGGCGACAAUCCGUAACUGGUCUGAGAGGAUGAUCAGUCACACUGGAACUGAAACACGGUCCAAACUCCUACGGGAGGCAGCAGUGGGGAAUAUUGGACAAUGGGCGAAAGCCUGAUCCAGCCAUGCCGCGUGUGUGAAGAAGGUCUUCGGAUUGUAAAGCACUUUAAGUUGGGAGGAAGGGCAGUAAAUUAAUACUUUGCUGUUUUGACGUUACCGACAGAAUAAGCACCGGCUAACUCUGUGCCAGCAGCCGCGGUAAUACAGAGGGUGCAAGCGUUAAUCGGAAUUACUGGGCGUAAAGCGCGCGUAGGUGGUUCGUUAAGUUGGAUGUGAAAUCCCCGGGCUCAACCUGGGAACUGCAUUCAAAACUGACGAGCUAGAGUAUGGUAGAGGGUGGUGGAAUUUCCUGUGUAGCGGUGAAAUGCGUAGAUAUAGGAAGGAACACCAGUGGCGAAGGCGACCACCUGGACUGAUACUGACACUGAGGUGCGAAAGCGUGGGGGAGCAAACAGGAUUAGAUACCCUGGUAGUCCACGCCGUAAACGAUGUCAACUAGCCGUUGGGAGCCUUGAGCUCUAGUGCGCAGCUAACGCAUAGUGACGCUGGGGAGUACGGCCGCAGGUAAACUCAAUGAUGACGGGGCCGCACAGCGUGAGCAUGUGAUAUUCGAGCACGCGAGACUACAGGCUGGCUCAAUGACUUCGCAGGAUGAUGGCAUCGAACUUGAACGGUGCUGCAUGUC